ensembl:lncRNA
CAGUCCCCCAGCCAUUAUCACGCCUCGAAUAGUUAAGGCAACUCCCUAGUAUCCCCUAAUACUCUCCGUGCGCACUGCCGUGAGAGUUUCGGGAUGUCCGCAUCGUCGGAGCGUCCAGGCGGGACCGUGCACAUUGCGCGCGGCGGCUCCGCCCCUGCGACUCCGGGAUCCUCGGCCGCCCCGCCCCCGCCUCUCCUCGGGCCCGCGAUUUACUGAGGAAACGGGAUCUCUGCCCUGUGGGACGUCCGAGCCCUCGCAUUCGGCUCAGGCCUUACUGAUGAUGUCGUUUGACCUGUUUCUCUGUCCUCCAUGGUUCUCGGAAAUUCAUAGUCCGCUUUAAAGUCCUGAGGAGAGCCGCGCUCGCUUUUUCGAGCCUGCGCGCUUCGUCGGGAGGGCAGCCCGGUGGAGGCGCCUGGCGAAGCGGGGGCUUCAGCGGAGGUCGUCAGCCCGACCCCCGUUAGAAGGGUUCCCACCAAACCUCCUAAUGCUUUUCGAAUACACUGCGGGUCUCGUUUGUUUGUUUUUAACCCUUGGCUCACGAGCUGUAAGGAUGUAAACCCAAGGCCCUUGGUGUCCAAGUUCCGUGCGCCGAGGAACAAAACUGAGAAUAAGGGCAGGAAAAGACACAGAGAAUGCAAAACUGAAGCUGUGUUUCCGGCGCUGCGCCGCUGAGAGGCUCUCCUGGAGCCGCCGCGGGUGGGCCUGGUUGCUGGGUCUCGGGCCCCGCCUCCCGCACUCGCCGCCCCGCUGUGGCCGCGCUUUCUUCGGCAGAGGCCGUCGCGUCUGAAAAAUGGCUCCGCCCACCCUCGUCUCUGUUGGAAUGCCGACUGAUGUGUCUCUUCUGGAUGGUUUCUGAAUGUCGUUUUCUGUCAGGCAGGUGUGCUGCCUCAUCCAUUAGGACAACGUGCCAGAGAAAGGGAACAUUAAAUGAUGUGACAAUUGAAACAGGCAAAGACCACAAGUUAUUUCCUCUUCAGGAAUUUUGCUUUAAUUAAAAAGAAGAAGAAGCUCAACCGAAGUCCCUACAUCUUCUUGAGCUAGGAACAGAUGAGUUGCAUAGAACCACAGCAUCAAUGACCAGCUUUACCUGCAAUAAAUCAUUGCCUACUGUUGGUAGCAAUGGCUGGAAAUUGGGUGUUAUGGUCUGACCAUUUGGUGAGCUCUGCACUGGAUGAAUCAUUUGAAGAGAUCCAGUGUCUGUUGGGUGAGACAACAGAGAAGCUAGUUUGUUUGCCUGUUCAUCUAUUUGGGCUCAAAUCAAUCAAGACUGUUGUGUGCCACCAAGAAGGUGAAUAGCUCUUUGAUAUCUGAACUAGUAAAUAUUUUGCUUCUGUGUUUUCUCUUGACUCAUGACUGAAAUUUUAGAAUUGAAGCUGUAAACUCUACAUGUCUCUAUGUCUGUAAUUCAGAAAGGUCUCUACCUCUCAUUGUCUGAGUGUAUGAUGUUUUUCUAAAUCUGGAUGGUAUUAGAUUAUCAAAUCUCCUAAAUUAAAAAAGCCUUGUUCUGACUGGCUUAUAAGCGCUUGUAAGUGAAAUGUAGUAUUCCUACAAUUCUCAGAAAGUAAGGAAAUAGAACUUCUAAGUUUUAAAAUGUGCUGGGUUUAAAAAGUAUUUUAAAAGAAAUUAGCUCAGAAACAUUUUAAGAAUUCAAGUUUACACAAUUUAGGUAAAUCUUUCGCAAACUAAACUAGUUUAAUAAUUUGGUUUAAUAAAAACAGCUAUUUCUUCUCUGAUUUAUCAGUGUUACAUGUAACACAAGUGUUUAUUUUUAUUAUACUUGGGUAUGUUUUUUUCUAAAUUAUACAGGUUUACUGAUAAGCUAGGAUUACUUCUACUUAAUGCUUGCUUAUGAAAAAUGUAAAUUUGUAUUUGACCCCAUUGAAUCUUUAUUCUGAUGAAUUAUUAUUCCAUUAGUAAUAUGUUCUAUACUGUGUCAGCUUGAAGAUAAAUGUCGAAGAUCUAGGUAGCCUACAAUCUUGGAUUGGUAUUAAAUUGGGUUAAUUAACGGAAAAUCAUUGGAUACCUAGAUCAUUUCUAAGUAAGAUUGAAUACUAAAGUAUUAAUUAAUAAGCAUAAUUUUAACUUUAUAUACCUUUGCUUCUUAUUUUUAUAUACUAUAGAAAGACUCUGUCUGUGGGUCAUGUCAAUGAACAUGUUGAUUUUUGCCACUUUAGGAAGAUGUAUAUGGGACAUUAGCAACUGUGGAAAAUUGGGUUAAUUCAUGAAUUAUUGAAUUCAUGAGCUCUGCUAGUCUGAUAACAUGCUGGGGUGUGACAGUUCACUUUAUCCACCCCCCAGUUUUCUCUACAAAACAGAAGUUAUUUUGGUUAACAUUUAUGUGUUAUAAAUGGUUGAAACUACACUGAGAAGGAAUGGUUGCAGAGAAAUAUAACUGUGUAUGUGCUUCUGUUUUUUCAAGGAAAAGACUAGUUUUGCCUUAAAGCAGCAUCGUGAAGUUUUUAAUAUUACUUUAUUUUUCUUUUAAUCUCUCUAGUAUCUAUAAUGAGGUCUCCUCUUUCAUUCCUGAUGUUGGUAAUUUGUGUUUUCCCUCUUAUUUUCUUGAUCUCUCUGGCUAGAAUUUUAUCAAUUUUAUUGUAUUUUGCAAAAAACAAGUUUUUGGCUUCAUUUUUUUCCUACUGUUCAUUUCUAUGUCAUUGAUUUCUGCUAUUUACUAUUUCCAUCCCUCUAUUUACUUUAGGUUUAAUCGGCUCUUCUUUCUCUCGUUUCCUAUAGUAGAAAUUUAGAUUAUAAAUUUUAGAUUAAACCUUUCUUCUUUUCUAAUAGAAGCAUUUAAAGCCAUAAAUUUGCCUCUAGGCAGUCUUAGCUACUUUAACUGUAUGCUACAAAUUUUAAUGUGCUGUGUUUAUAUUUUCAUUUAGUUCAAAAUAUUUACUUUCCCCUUUAUUUUUUUUUGGUCACAUGGAUUAUUUAGAUGCUUAUUUUUAGUUUUCAAAUAUUUGGGGGAUUUCCUAGGUAUCUUCAUGUUAUUUUUCUAGUUUAAUUCUAUUGUGGUAUCAUUUCAAUUAUUUUAAAUGUACUGAGUCUUGUUUUAUAGCCCAGGAUAUGGUAUGCCUAGUGAAUGUUCCAUGUGCCCAGGAAAAGAAUGUACAGUUGUUGGCUAAAGUGUUAUAUAAAUGUUAAUAGGUCAAGUUAGUUGAUAAUGUUGUUCAAAUCAUGUAUAUCCUUACUGAUUUUUGGUGCUUCUCCAUCAGUUAUCGAGAGAGGACUGUUGAAAUCUCUAGCUAUAAUUUUGGAGUUCUCUGUUUGGCCUUUCAGUUUCAGUUCCAACAGUUUUUGCUUUGUGUCUUUUGAAACUCCGUUGUUAGAUACAUACACGUUUAGGAUUGCUACGUCUUCUUGAGGAAUUGAUCCUGUUAUCAUUAUGAAAUGUUCCCCAACUAUCACAACUACUAAAAUUAAUCAGAUGGAUUUUUGAUGAUUUAUAAAAACAUUUAAAAUUAAAACACAAUUUGUGUUUCACCAAAACUACAUCUCCUUUAUCCUGCUUUAAUUUUUUCCAUGGCAACUAUCUCCAUCACACAAUUUGUUUGUUUUUCAUCUUCUCCCACUAGAAUAAAAGUUCUAAAGAGUAAGAUGUCAUCUGUUUUGUUCACUGCUGUAUCCCAACUACCUGUCACAAAGUCUGACCUCAGUAAAUACUUUCUGCAUGAAUAAUAUAUAAAAAAGCUGCAACAACUGGAAGAACAUAAUAUUUCCAUGACUCUACCCCAUUUGCUCUGUGGUAAGAUGGCCUCUGCUCACACAAGGCUAUUUCAGAAAUAGCUUCUACACCCCAGCUCUCCCGCUGCCCUUCUGCACAACUAGUGCCACAAAACAGUGUUGCUGUGGGUUCUCAGGGCCUCAGACAUUAGUGAGAUAACUCUUUGUUUUAGCUUGUUCUUUGUAUCUCAGCCGCCUCUCCUCUAGCUAGGAUUUAGUCCUGAAUCAUUCCAGAGUGGUGAGUCUGAGUGACAGACACCCAGAUCCUGGCCCCUCACCCUGGACCCCUGUAAGGAGCCUCCACUCACUCCUUCAGGAGGCUGUUCAGGCCCUCAUAUAAGACGGACUCUUGGGGCCAGCCUCACUGUUUCUACUAGUAGCUCUAUAUAUCCCUGGGUUGUAAGGUGAUCAGGAGUUUGGUUCUUAUACCAAACCCAGCUGCAUAAAGCAUUUACAUUUCACAUCUCCUUACCACACUGUGGUUUCACUUCCCUCACCAAUUCUGUUCAUUCACAUGGCUGAAGGUUUUUGUUUUCCCAGGAAAUUUAAGCUUCAGAAAAACUGAAGCUACUCUCACUGUAAUAUUUG